CAGCCGCCGCGGUAAUACAGAGGGUGCGAGCGUUAAUCGGAUUUACUGGGCGUAAAGCGUGCGUAGGCGGCUUCUUAAGUCGGAUGUGAAAUCCCUGAGCUUAACUUAGGAAUUGCAUUCGAUACUGGGAAGCUAGAGUAUGGGAGAGGAUGGUAGAAUUCCAGGUGUAGCGGUGAAAUGCGUAGAGAUCUGGAGGAAUACCGAUGGCGAAGGCAGCCAUCUGGCCUAAUACUGACGCUGAGUUACGAAAGCAUGGGGAGCAAACAGGAUUAGAUACCCCAGUAGUCCCUGUCUCUUAUAC
rnacentral:rRNA from 1 species